rnacentral:rRNA from 1 species
GACGAACGCUGGCGGCGUGCUUAACACAUGCAAGUCGAACGGAAAGGCCCUGCUUUUGUGGGGUGCUCGAGUGGCGAACGGGUGAGUAACACGUGAGUAACCUGCCCUUGACUUUGGGAUAACUUCAGGAAACUGGGGCUAAUACCGGAUAGGAGCUCCUGCUGCAUGGUGGGGGUUGGAAAGUUUCGGCGGUUGGGGAUGGACUCGCGGCUUAUCAGCUUGUUGGUGGGGUAGUGGCUUACCCAGGCUUUGACGGGUAGCCGGCCUGAGAGGGUGACCGGCCACAUGGGGACUGAGAUACGGCCCAGACUCCUACGGGAGGCAGCAGUGGGGAAUAUUGCACAAUGGGGGGAAGCCUGAUGCAGCAACGCCGCGUGCGGGAUGACGGCCUUCGGGUUGUAAACCGCUUUCGCCUGUGACGAAGCGUGAGUGACGGUAAUGGGUAAAGAAGCACCGGCUAACUACGUG